rnacentral:misc_RNA from 1 species
GUAACGGUGAGACUUUAUUAAUUAGUCUCGUAACCAAACAGAUCUUUUGUUCAGCUCUUCUUCAACCCUAAUUACCACAGGCCGCAAGAACCGUCUUCUAUAAUGGCGUCGGAGAAACGAUGCCAUUACGAGGUCCUUGGACUCUCUCGUGAGUGCACAGCAGAGGAAAUCCGCUCUGCAUACAAGAAACUAGCUCUCCAGCGCCACCCCGACAAGCUCAUCCAAUCCGGCUUGAGCCAAGCUGAAGCCACCGCUCAAUUUCAGGAGCUUGCUUACGCUUACGAGGUUCUCUCCGACCCUAAGGAACGCGCCUGGUACGAUUCUCACCGCUCUCAGAUCCUCUUCUCCGAUCCUAAUUCCGCCAACUCGGUCCCUGGAUCUGUCAUCCCUAAUUUAUUUUCCUUCUUCUCUAACAUGGUCUAUUCGGGUUAUACGGAUACAGGCAAAGGGUUUUAUAAGGUGCAUUCGAAUGUUUUUAACAAAAUUUACGUGAAUGAGGUCAGUUUUUUGUAAGAAAUUAGGGUUAAGGUUGGACAGUCUGAGGGAGGCGUCGGUGAUGGGGAAUUUGGGGAGUCCGUAUUGGGCAGGUUACAGCGUUUUAUAAUUACUGGUUAGGGUUUUGUACGGUAAUGGAUUUUUGUUGGGUGGAUCAAUACGAUGUAAUGGCCGGGCCGAAUCGGAAAUCAAGGAGGGCGAUGGAGGAAGAGAACAAGAAGUUGAGGAAAAAGGCCAGGAGGGAGUAUAAUGAGACGGUGAGGGGAUUGGCGGAAUUUGUGAAGAAGAGGGAUAAAAGAGUGAUUGAUAUGAUGGUGAAGAAAAAUGCGGAGUUGGAGAAAAAGAAAGAGGAGGAGAGGGAGAGGAAGAAGAAGUUGGAGAGAGAGAAAAUGGAGAGAGUUAGAGCAUAUGAGGAGCCGGAGUGGGCAAGACUGAAUGAAGAGGAUGUGGAGGAGGUGGAGGGGUUUGAGGAGGAAGGAAAGGGUAAGACGGGGAAUGGAGGG